CGCAAUAAGCAAACUUCAGUCAAAAAUUAAACGAACAGUGCUGCGUCGCCUUGUUUUUUUUUUUUUCAGAUCGUAAUAUUCUGUCGCCGCUCCCAUUUCCUUUCCUCCACGUCUGAGACCACAACCAUUUCCCCUCCAUUCCUCUCCUCCAAGUCUGAGGCCAUAGAUCUGAAGCCACAACCAUUUCCUCUCCUCCAAGUCUGAAACCACAGAUCUGAAGCCACAACCAUUUCCUCUCCUCCAAGUCUGAAACCACAGAUCUGAAGCCACAACCAUUUUCUUUCCAUUUCUGCCGGAUCUGAAGCCACAGCCGACGCCGCCCUUCCUCUGCCUCAGCAGCCAUCCGACUCCACCACCGAAGCCUCAGUCGCCCUUCUUCCGCCGUAGCGAACCUUCUUCCGCCGAAGCUGCGUCACUAGCGACCGCCACCACCCCGGACCUACCGAAUCCUCCCCCACAACCGGGUUCACAUUUACGGAAGUAAACUUUGUUCGUGCAAGGGUUAGUAAAGUUGUCUGCUGCCACUUCUCAUCAGAUGGAAAGCUGCUUGUCAGCUGUGGCCAUGAUAAAAAGGGUCAUACGAAACCAAUUCACUCUGUGUGCUGGUAUGAAGCAGUCCAUUUUUUAUGAACAAACUUCAAAUGGAGGCUAUAUCCUUACUUGAGUUGUGUAGAGUGCAAUUAAAAGGCUAUAUCCUUACUUGAGAUUAUUGUAUACUGUAUGGUUUUUCUUUUUAUUGAGGUUAUUGUAUUCUGUUGCAAAGGAGCAUUCUAGCUUUGGGGAGAUUACUGAGUCAAAGGCUGGUCAAGGAGCACUGCUUUUGAUACACUGCAUGAAGGAUUCAAUACAAAGUCCAUAUUGCAGGGUGUUGAUGAGCCGACUGUUCGUAGUCUUAAUGGAUGCAGAGCUACUGAUCAAGUUUUGCAUUUAGUUCCUAAUAUUCAAGUGCUUGUGAGCUAUAUCGCAACGAAAUUAUUUCCGUCGCGAUUUUCCGUCGCGAAUCGCGAUUUUUCUUGUAGUGACAGGUGCCGCCGAAAGUAUUUAAUUAAAAAAAAAAAGAAAAUUAUAUGCUUUCCGCGGCACCCGUUACGGGUGCUGCGGAAAGCCUACCCUUUCAGCGACUGCACCAUAGGCUACACCUGUAGAGGUGUAGCGAAAACACUUUUAUAGGUGUAGCGUAUGACUCUUUUUGUACUAGUGUUUCUUUGAAUUGUGAGUUUGGUUGUUGGAUGA